UAGAUUCUACUGCCCUCAUGCGGUGGAAAGCGAGCGAGAGGGAUGAGACUGCGAGCAGUGUUCAUGCCAGGCAAGAGUCAUUCAUCUGGGAGCCAAGCAGACCCCACUGUCACUGAGAUAAGUGUCUGUUUUGCUGAGGGUUCUGCUCACGGCCCAGCUGACUCCUGGUAUAGACACCCAGUUAGCUAGGGCUGGGUUUGUAGGAAAAGGUUCCUGACUAGCGGUUAUGAGGGAGACCAGGUCCCCAUUUUCAGAGGCUGCUCAGUUCUCUGGCCAGGAUCGGUGUCUCCUUCGCAGGAGAAGGUUAGAUCCAUGAGGAUGACUCCAGGGGGUGAGUUGCUUGCCUUCCUCCUGUGUUUCUCUUCUCUACUCUACUCUACUCUGUGUUGGCCAACACACAUCCUCCCUCCCUCUCUCUCUCUCUCCUUGUGCUGUCUCCCUUCAUAGGACGUGGGCAGGAGUGCUAGAUGUGUAUCCCCACAGCCUAGGUCUCAGGAGCUAUGAAGAAGUAGGAGGGGAUGAAAAUCAUGCAGCGUAGUGGGCACUAGAGUGGAGCAGUGACUGCGGAUGUUGACUGUCUCUGUUCGAGUGGGGAUGAUGUGGAUGGGAUGGAAGAGGGAAGCAGGGAUGCGGGCAAGAUUUCAAGCACCAAUAGAGCUUUGUGUUGUGAUGGCUCAUGCUUGGCUUUGGUAGGUGCGCUUGCACAGGAAUUGUUCUUCAGGAGCCGCAGCCCGGGGAGAAACUGGCAGAAGUGGAUGUGAGCAGCCUGGACAUCCUUCUAAAGAGACAUGAACAGUCCUCAGCUUUCUCUCUCCUGCAUAACUACACUUCACGACUUUUAGGGGCACGGCUAAAGCCCAAGAUAAAUGCAGGGUAGAGGCUGAGUACAGACGGCUGCGUCCCUUUACGUGGGUUUGGUUUAUUAUAAAAGUUUUCCUCCUUGUUGUGGGUGCAGGAGGAGAAUUUCCCUAUCUUCUAAGCUGCUGAUCUUCCAGGACAGAGAGGAGCGGGUUCUUCUGAGCAGUGGCCUGCAACCAGGAAGAGGGAUCGUCCAGGAGCCCAGACAGCGGAGAAACUGGAAGAAGUGAAUCUGAGCAGCCUGGACAUCCUUGUAAGCAGAGAUGAAGAGUCCUCAGCUUUCUGCCUUCUCCAUGACUGGCUUACCACAGACAAAGAAGUCAAGGCUGCGCUGGCAGAGGAAUUGUCCAGGAGCCCUAUCCGGAGGAGAGACUCUCAGAAGUGGACCUGAUCACCCUGAACAUCCUUCUAAGCAGACAUGAACAGUCCUCAGCUUUCUCCCUCCUGCAUAAUUGGUUGUGAGUAAAUGUACCAAGAGAAAAGAAGUCAUGCAUCAGUCUACUGUCCUCACACAAUGGAAAGCGAGCAAGAGCGAGGAGACCACAAGCAUUGUUGAUGCGAUGCAAAAGCCGUCCAUCUGUGAAUGGAACCGCCACCACUCUCAGUGAGAUAAGUGUCUGGUUUGGUGGUUGCUCUGCUCACGGCUCACCUCCUGGUAGGGACACCCCGUUAGCUAGGGCUGGGUUUGUAAGAAAAGGUUCCUAAUUAGUGGUUACGAGGGAGACAAGGUCCCCGUUUUCAGGGGCUGGUCAUUUUUCUGACCACAAGCAGUGUGUCCUCUGCAGCAGAAGGUUGGAUCCAGGGGGAUGACUCCAGGUCGUGAGUUUCUUGACUCCCUCCCAUUUUUUUCUCUCUCUCUCUCUCUCUCUCUCCUUUGUGUUGGCCAACACACGCUCUCUGUUUGUCUGUCUGUCCUUGUCUCCUCUUGUGCCGUCUCCCUUGGUAGGACACGGGCAGGAGUGCUAGGUGUGCAUCCCCACAGGCUAGGUCUCAGGAGCUAUGUACAAGUAGGAGGGGAUGAAAAUCAUGCAGGACAGUGGGCGCUAGAGUGGAUCGGUGUCUGUCAGUGUUGACUCAGUCUCUGUUUAUCAAGUCGGGCGGAUGGAGCUUGGAUGAGAGAGGGAGGCAGGGAUGAGGGCAAGAUAUUAAAUACACCAAUAGAACUCUGUGUAGUGAUGGUACUUGCUUGGCUUUAUUAGUUUCCAGAGGAAUCAUCCAGGAGCCCUAGCUGGGUGAGAAUAUGCAGAAGUGGAUAUGAGCAGCCUGGACAGUCUUCUAAGGAGACAUGAAUAGUCCUCUGCUUCCUGCCUCCCGCUUAAUUGGCUGUGAGUAGUACCAAGGGAAAAUAAGUCAUGUGCCAGAAUCUACUGCCCUCAUGCGAUGGAAAGCGAAGGAGAGCGAUGAUGCUGCAAGUAUUGUUGAUGCCACGCAAAAGCCGUCCAACUGGGAGCGGAACAGCCGCCAUUCUCAAUGAGAAGUGUCUGUUUUGGUGAUUGCUCUGCUCACGGCCCUCCCCACUCCUGGUAGGGACGCCACAUUAGCUGGGGCUGGGUUUGUAAGAAAAUGUUCUUGACUAGCUGUAGUUACGAAGGGCACAAGGUCCCCAUUUUCAGAGGCUGCUCAGUUCUCUGGCCAGGAGUGGCGAGUUCUCUGCAGCAGAAGGUUGGAUCCAGGAGGAUGACUGCAGGUGGUGAAUUGCUUGCCUUCAACCUGUGUUUUUCUUUCUCUCUGUCCUUACCUUUCCUUGUGCCAUCUCCCUUCAUAGGGCACGGUGCUAGGUGUGCAUCCUCACAGGCUAGGUCUUGGGAGCCAUGGAAAAGGAAGAGCAGAGAAAAAACAUGAGGGGCAGUGGGUGCUGAAGUGGAGCGGUGACUCUGAUUACUCAUCUCUGUUCAUCGAGUCGGGCUCAAGUAGAUGAGAAGGGAGAGGAAGGCAGGGAUGAGGGCAAGAUUUCAUGCAUGAAUAGAACUUUUUGUACUGAUGGCUCAUGCGUGGAUUUUGCAGGUGCACUUCCAGAGGAAGUGUCCAGGAGCCUCAGCCCGAGGAGAAGCUGGCAGAAGUGGAUCUGAUCAGCCUGAACAUCCUUCUAAGCAGAUAUGAGCAGUCCUCAGCUUUCUGCCUUGCACAUAACACUUCAUGACUUUUAGCAGCACGGCUGAAGCUUAAGAUAAAUGCAUGGUAGAGGCUGAGUACAGGCGGCUGCUUCAGUUUAGUACCACAGACAAAGAAGUCAAGGGUAAGAGCCCACCCCAGUUGUGAGAUGGAAAGCGCACAAGAGCCGUGAGACAGCGAGCAUUGUUGAUGCCAGGAUAUGCAGAUGCCGUCGAGCUGGAAGUGGAGCAGCCGUGACCAUCAGUGAGAUAAGUGUCUGGUUUGGGGAGGACUCUGGUAAUGGCCCACCUGCCUCCAGGCUGAGACUUGUCGUUAGCUGGGGCUCGGUUUGUAGGAAAAGGUUCCUGAGUAGCUGUGGUUAGGAGGGAGACAAGGUCCCCAUUUCAGGGGCUGCUCAUUUCUCUGUCCAUAAAUGGUGUCCUCUCUAGCAGUCAGGGCUGGCUUCAGGCACCAGCUUAUCAAGCAUGUGCUUGGGGCAGCAACUCCUGAGCAGGGCAGCACUUUCAGGUAUUUG